CUACGGGAGGCAGCAGUAGGGAAUCUUCCGCAAUGGGCGAAAGCCUGACGGAGCGACGCCACGUGGAUGACGAAGGCCUUCGGGUCGUAAAAUCCUGUCAGGGGGGACGAUGGUCGAUCUUCGGAUUGACUGACGGUACCCUCAGAGGAAGCUCCGGCCAACUACGUGCCAGCAGCCGCGGUAAUACGUAGGGAGCAAGCGUUAUUCGGAUUUACUGGGCGUAAAGAGUGCGUAGGCGGUUAUAUAAGUCAAUGGUGAAAUCUCCACUUUCAAGGUGGAAACUGCCUUUGAUACUGUAUGACUAGAGGGCAAGAGGGGGAAAUGGAACUCUGGGAGUAGCGGUGAAAUGCGUCGGUAGCG
rnacentral:rRNA from 1 species